GACGGGGCCCGCACAAGCAGUGGAGUAUGUGGUUUAAUUCGAUGCAACGCGAAGAACCUUACCUGGUCUUGACAUCCCGGAGACCCUUAGGAAACUAGGGGGUGCUUCCAUCUGGAAGAAUCUGGAGACAGGUGCUGCAUGGCUGUCGUCAGCUCGUGUCGUGAGAUGUUGGGUUAAGUCCCGCAACGAGCGCAACCCUUGCCUUUAGUUGCCAGCAGUUCGGCUGGGCACUCUAAAGGGACUGCCGGUGUUAAACCGGAGGAAGGUGGGGAUGACGUCAAGUCCUCAUGGCCUUUAUGACCAGGGCUACACACGUACUACAAUGGCCGAUACAAAGGGCAGCGACACUGCGAGGUGAAGCCAAUCCCGUAAAAUCGGUCUCAGUCCGGAUUGGAGUCUGCAACUCGACUCCAUGAAGUUGGAAUCGCUAGUAAUCGUGGAUCAGCAUGCCACGGUGAAUACGUUCCCGGGCCUU
rnacentral:rRNA from 1 species